CAGUUUGAGCCAAUCACCGACAAGCUUCUAUCGAUGCCCAUGUUCAAACUGGAGGAGAAGAACUCGAGAGGAAACUAUGAACAUGAAGAACAAGAAACUAAAAGAAACUGCGUUAAAAAUGGUGAUGCUAACCGUCACGAGACACUCAAAUGUGAGUGAGAUGAGAGACUGGGAUCAUCAUGGUGGUUAAAGCUGCACGCGGACACAAGUCUCCGUCUUCAAGUGGAAGGAAAUCUGUCAGUUUACUGAGGACGACUCCUUGUCCAGCCUCACCGAUGUGUUCGAGCCUCUGAACACGGUGCACAAUGUUUUAUCUUCAUGAUGGAUGGAAUAAAGUCCACCGACUCAUCCUGAGAGCUGACUCAGUGUUGGACCAGAGGAGCUUGUCAGAGCGAUGGUGAACAUCAUGUGUCUACGCAGCUCGUCCUCCUCAGCACGAGCACAGAUACACAACCACUGAGAUUCUCCAGGAGACAUGUUGAAGCCCUACAGCUGUGUUAUCGUCUCUUCCCUCGUGAGGCGCACCAGGGGGAGUCCAGCUCGAUAUCUGUCUUCAAAUAAACUUUGGUUUUACUCUCAUAACCUCAACAUUCAAGCUUCAGACACAAACUCUCUCAUUCACUGGUAUCUACUGUGAGAGACUUGAACCAAACUGCUUCUCUAGUGUCCAGCUGUUAAGGAAUCUAUUGACUCGAGCACAUUUGCAAGGGGUUGGAUUUUGUUUUGGUGUUCUUACAUCAUCAAUGGUCCCAGUUCAUCAGAUAUAUCUGCAUCGUCCCAGCUGGUUUGUCACAGUUCAGAGGGAAAGGGACGAGACCAGUUAAUUGUGUUUUUACAUAAGCUAUUAUAAAGGCAACCGACUUAUUUAGAAAUGUGUAACUGUGAUUGCCACAAUUAUGACCUCGUUAAUCAGACUUGAUUGUAAAGAUUCAGUUUAAUGCUUUGGCAAUAAAAUCAAGAUUCAAGAUUAAAAAAAAUUGUGAUGAAUUCAAAA